UACGUAGGGUGCAAGCGUUUGUCCGGAAUUAUUGGGCGUAAAGAGCUCGUAGGCGGCUUGUCACGUCGGCUGUGAAAACCUGGGGCUCAACCCCGGGCCUGCAGCCGAUACGGGCAAGCUAGAAUUCGGUAGGGGAGACUGGAAUUCCUGGUGUAGCGGUGAAAUGCGCAGAUAUCAGGAGGAACACCGGUGGCGAAGGCGGGUCUCUGGGCCGAUAUUGACGCUGAGGAGCGAAAGCGUGGGGAGCGAACAGG
rnacentral:rRNA from 1 species